AUAUUAUUGUAUGUUUAAGUCGUUGGUUAGUGGGUUCGCGUGCCUUUCGCAUCAUGCUAUUCCGAGUUUACGGCGUAAGGCCCCCAACCGAAAAGACCAGAUCUCCCACACAGUUGUGCGGUACUCCCGAUGGGUUAUUUUUGUUAACUGUGUGGGCGGGGUGAUAAAUUAGUCGUUGGUCUUUAUACCUGUUUAUCGGGUUUAGUUUUCUUUUUAUUGUGCUAGUGAUGAGAUUAGCACAAUGUCUAUAUAAGGGGUUGUGUGUAUUGUAGCUUAGGUUAGGAUUACCUGUGUGUCAUCGAGUGUGUCGUGAUUCAGUAGAAGCCUGUUUUGAUUAGCUAAACACCCCGUGUUGUUUAAAUUCAUUUAGUGAUUUAUGGUUUAAUAAGUAAUUAUAACAGUAGUAGUUUUUCUCGGGUCUGGACCAACUGUUUAUUAAAAACAUUUCUGCUUGCUUAGUUAUGAGCAGUACGCCCUGCCCGGUGUAUUAUUAACGGCCGCAGUAUUUUGACUGUGCGAAGGUAGCAUAAUUAAUUGCCCCAUAAUUGGGGGCUUGUUUGAAUGGGUUAAUGAGGCCAGAACCAAAAUUACUAUUUUUGGUGAAAUUAAUUAGGUGGGUACAGAAUCCACUUAGUUUAGUUAGACGGAAAGACCCCAGGAUCUUUUCAUUUGUCUGGGGCAGAUUAGCGUUUUUUACGUUAUUUGGGACCCUCUGAUUAGAGAUUUAAGUUACCCUGGGGAUAACAGAGUAAUGGCUAACGAGAGAUCAUAUCGACUUAGCCGAUUGCUACCUCGAUGUUGACUUGGGUUGUCCUAAUGGCGCAGUAGUUGUUAGGCGUGGUCUGUUCGACCAUCAAAGCCCUCAUGAGUUGUGUUAAGACCGGCGUAAGCCAGGUCGGUUCUUAUCUACUAAUCUGACCAAAUAGUACGAAAGGACCGUUGGUCAUUUUAUU
rnacentral:rRNA from 1 species